rnacentral:lncRNA from 1 species
ACUCGCAGGGGUUGUGCGCCUGACGGUGUAUGUCUCGGUGGUUUAGGAGGUGUCGAAGAAAGACCACCGUGAGAGACCACUGUUGACGGUUCCGAGGAGAGAGAGAGGGGGUACUUACCUGUAGCUACCGGCGGCUCGUCGGGGAUGCCAAUGGUGUUACCCUGUCGCCGGAGAGGGGGGGUCGCCGGAGGUGGAGGGAUCGCCGGGGGAGGGGGAGAGGGGAGCUGGGAGCUGGGGGCUG